AUAGGCCUUAAGGUGAUAAUCAUGUCGAAUUGCAAAUUCGAAGGUGUAGGGGAACCUCUCUACUAAGGCUU
rnacentral:tRNA from 1 species